ACGCACGGGGGCGCCCAAGCAACGUGAUAUUUGUUUUGGCCACAGCCCGUACGCAAAUCCGUAGCUCUCCAAGAUAGCCAACAACCCGGGUCACCGGCGAUGGAAUCUCGGUUUUGACAUCGUCUGCCUUCCGUAGAAGCUUGAGAAAAGGCCCAACGCCUGCCUCAGAUUCCCGGUGACUUUGCAGGUCAUGGUGAUUCACGCCUUGAAUUCCAGCACUCAGAAGGCUGAAGCAGAGAAUUUCUUUGUAUUUGAGGAUGGACUGGGCUACACAGAAAGUUCCAGGUGAUCCCAAGCUAUAGAGCAAAAUAUCUCUUUGAAAGGAAGAAAGAGGGAAAGAAAGGAAAAAAGAAAGAAAGAAAGAGGAAAUAAAAGAUCCUGGAAUAUGA